UGGGGAAUGAGCCACUUUUUCCUGAUUAAAUGAAAAAACAUGAUCUCUCUGCCAACUAUGUUAAUUUGUGCAGAGUUCAGUUAUUAAGCAACACACCAGAUGACAAAGAGCUGUUGCUCCAUAUCUUCGGAGCCAUAAGGACAGUGAAGAUUUUCAAGAUGAGCUUUCAGCAGUGACAGAGCUGUUUUUAGUUUCAAUCUUAUAGUAUUUUGAUUAUGGUGUGUGCAUGAAAGUCAAGGUCAGACUUACAUAUGAAGCUUUAUGAAGAAGACACUUCAGGCAGCAGAAUGCUGAGUAAACAGUGGUGGAACUACAAAAAGCAGAAGAAACAGAAUACAAAAUGAAUAAGAAAGAAAGGUCCAAGAAUGAAAAUGAAGAUGAUAUAACAUUUUAAAACUGUACUGAGGACAGUCAGCUAGGAUGUGUUGGUUUUCCCUGCUGCCACCCUACCUGGCAGGGUUAUUUUGGGAACCUGCCUUCUGGAGUAAUAGAUGAGCAAGUAUGAGAGAGGAGUCUCUAAUCCUAGGUUGUGUUGGGAUAUUGCUGAGGUGCAUAUCACUGGACUUUAAGGAACAUUUAAGAACAGUCUGGCGUCCAUUUCACAUCUCAGUUUAAUUGCACUAUAACUAUCCCUAUAAAAAGUGUGUGUGUGUGUAUAUACAUGAAAGCACAAAAAGCAAUAAAGGACAACAAAAGGAAAGGGAAUACAUUGCUUUCCUUGCUUUAUGUCUCUUUUAUACAUUCUUGGAUAAAGGAAAAAUGUAGAGCUUGUAUCCUUCCUUUCAUCUUCCCUUAUACUUCCAGAUGUAUUCAGUAACACAAAGUACAGUCCUUUACAGGAGAGAUGGUCAUCUGUUAGGGUUGCCAUAAGUGAGGACCUCCAA